rnacentral:misc_RNA from 1 species
GCAAACUUGGUCAUUUAGAGGAAGUAAAAGUCGUAACAAGGUUUCCGUAGGUGAACCUGCGGAAGGAUCAUUACCGAGUGAGGGCCCCUCCGGGUCCAACCUCCCACCCGUGUUUAACGAACCUUGUUGCUUCGGCGGGCCCGCCGUAUGGCCGCCGGGGGGCACCCGCCCCCGGGCCCGCGCCCGCCGAAGACACCUGUGAACGCUGUCUGAAGUUGCAGUCUGAGACAACUAGCUAAAUUAGUUAAAACUUUCAACAACGGAUCUCUUGGUUCCGGCAUCGAUGAAGAACGCAGC